rnacentral:lncRNA from 10 species
AGGAUUAGAUGCAGAGGACCAAGUAAGGCAAGGCCUUUUAAAGGUUAAUUUUGUGACUGAAAGCUGGUCUAAUGUUACUAAGAAACUGCAAAAGAUUGAUUGAUGGAAUGAAAAACCGAUUAAGAAUUACUGAGGGAAGCCCAAAAGGUUUUUGUAAGAAGAAAGAAAAGAGAAACUGAGAAAGAAAGAAAAAGAAAAAGUAAAAAAGGAAAUUGGAAAGAGAAAGAGGAGGAAACGGCAAACACAGAGGACAGAGAGAGAAAGAGGUAAGCUGCUGAUCCUGAAAGCAGCGGAGAGCUGGCCAUGCAGCUGCAGGCAUGGGGCUGGCAGAAGCUGCAGAGCUGGACCAGACAGUUGAGAUAAAAGUGGACAGUGUGAGAAAGCUGUUAAUAAAAGCUGCUGCUGAACCUUUGUCAUUUCGGCAGAGCUGUCUGUCUUUGCAGACAGAUGGGAGGAGCCAGGUGCCCAGAGACAAAAAGAGGAAGAAACUAACUAAGGGAGAAAGAAAACAGGGGUUGACAGAGAGAGAUAGAAAAAGAAAAUGAGCAAGAGAGAGACUGGGAAAGACAGAGAUCAAAGAGAGACACAGAAGGUGAGACUGGGGAGAGAGAUAAUGUAAAAGGAAGAAAGAGUACAAGAGGAAGUGAGAGGAUGCAGAGAGGCUGGCAGGGCUGAGAAAAGGAUCUAGAGGCUCAAGCAACAAGGAGGUGCAGGGAAAGGGUGGAGCAUGGCCACUGAGGAGAGACAGAGCCAGAGAACUGGAGGAUGCAAGUGAGAAAGGGAUGUGGAGGAGAGUGUAGAAUCAGGCUGCUUGAGGAAUAGUAGGCUGCCUACAGCAAAGACUAGAUGGCUGUAUGUCAGGAGGUAAAUAGAGAGGAUUCAGGUUAUGAAAGGGUAAACCGAUAAGAUGACCGUUAAGGUUUUGUUGUUUUACUGAGAGGCUGUAAAUCCACCAGGGGAAGCUGUCACUAAGGCUGCAGAGGGGCUGGAGAGCUACACAGGGAAGAUCAGAACUACUGUUGUAAACAAGCCAAAAUCAACAGCCAAUUUGGAUACCAUCAAGACAAAUGAAACCUUAUCAUGAGCCAGAUUCUGGGAGGAUCCCGAGGACCCCUCAGUUGAAGCCAUGUCAAGACUGACGUUGAGGAAGACCCCAGCUUUCACGAGCAACACCCGUUUAACACAGCCACCCACCUGGGGAGAGAUCACGAAGCUGUCACAGAUUGUGGAAGAAAACCUGAGAAAAGCAGGACAACCAGUCACAAUGAGUAAUUUAAUGGUAGCUAUGAUAGCAGUUAUCACCCUGCCAUGAGUAUUCCUUCAACAAGGGCUGACACAGAGAACAAUUAUACUUACUGGGCAUAUAUAUCAAUCCUGGAUGGUAAUAAUGCCUGAAUAUAAUCACUCUAUGACACAGUUACACAUGCUUUCUGAUCUCAGUAUUUACCCUAAUAAAUUUGUUCCUAUAAUUGAGGCAUACCACCUUAAAAAACCUAUUUGUAAACAAAAUAGAACCUGGCCAGAAAUAAUGAAUGUACUUGUUUAGGAAGAUUGCUUUACAGAACAGGCAGAGGGGCUGCAUAACGAUUCCUAUGGAAUCUUUAUUGAUUGGUCCCCUAAAGGGAUGUUUAACCUAAAUUGCACCUCUCAGUCUGCAUGCCAUGGCCACACUAUGCUCAGCUGAUCUAAACAAAAUGGUCAGAUGGUAGAAAUGAUAAGAAGUAUGGCAAAAGUUCCUAUUAUCUGAAACCAUGGCAGUAUAGUGGCACCUCAACCUCAAAUGAUAUGGCUUAUUGUAGGAGGUAAACAUGAAGGAUUUGUGGAAACUAUUAAUAGCUCUUAAUAAGAUCAAAAUUUGGGAAAGAAUAAAAAAGUAUCUAGAAGGACACACUACAAACUUGUUUUUGGAUAUGGCAAAAUUAGAAGAACAAAUAUUUAAAACAUCUCAAGCACACAUGGCCUUAAUGCCAGGAACUGGAGUGUUUAAAGGAGCUGCAGACAGAUUAGCAGCUAGUAACCCAUUAAAAUGGAUAAAAAUACUUGGAAGCUCUGUAAUUUCAAUGAUGAUUGUGCUUUUAAUCUGUGUUGUUUGUCUUUGUAUAGUCUGCAGAUGUGGAUCCUGACUCCUGUGAGAAGUAGCUCACCAUGACAAAGCUGCCUUUGCUUUUAUCGCUUUGCAAAUCAAAUAAGGGGGACAUGUAGGGAACAGGCCCCCCCCAAAAUCUGGCCAUAAACUGGCCACAAAACUGGCCAUAAACAAAAUCUCUGCAGCACUGUAUCAUGUUCAUGAUGGCCAUAACGCCCACACUGGAAGGUUGUGGGUUUACCAGAAUGAGGUCAAGGAACACCUGGCCCGCCCAGGGUGGAAAACCUCUUAAAGGCAUUUUUAAGCCACAAACAAAAGCAUGAGUGAUCUGUGCCUUAAGGACAUGCUUCUAUUGCAGUUAACUAGCCCAACCUAUUACUUUAAUUUGGCCCAUCCCUUCGUUUCCCAUAAGGGAUACUUUUAGUUAAUUUAAUAUCUAUAGAAACAAUGCUAAUGACUAGCUUGCUGUUAAUAAAUAUGUGGGCAAAUCUUUGUUCAGGGCUCUCAGCUCUGAAGGCUGUGAGGGCCCUGAUUUCCCACUUCACACCUC